AGCUGAGAGAAUGAAGCUUAUGAAACAGC
rnacentral:piRNA from 1 species